rnacentral:lncRNA from 1 species
AAAAAACAAAUGUUUGUCUUUAUUUUAUUCCCUCCUACUUUUUUGCAUGUUUUUUAUAUAGAUAUUUUUAUACCCCCGCUUUCAAAAAAGGGGGGUAUACUGUUUUACCUCUGUCUGUCCGUCAGUCCGUCCGUCAGUCCGUCCCAUGAAACUUUCGUCACAUUUUUCUCAGGAACUACACAUCCACCCUUUCUGUAAUUUAAUAUCAACAUUUAUAUAUGUCAGCUAUACUGUGUGAUGCGUUUUCAGAUUGAUCACUUGACAACUUCCUGUUUACCGAACACUUGUAUGAUUUUACAC